UACGUAGGGUGCGAGCGUUGUCCGGAAUUACUGGGCGUAAAGAGCUCGUAGGUGGUUUGUCGCGUUGUUCGUGAAAACUCACAGCUUAACUGUGGGCGUGCGGGCGAUACGGGCAGACUGGAGUACUGCAGGGGAGACUGGAAUUCCUGGUGUAGCGGUGAAAUGCGCAGAUAUCAGGAGGAACACCGGUGGCGAAGGCGGUUCUCUGGGCCUGUACUGACGCUGAGGAACGAAAGCGUGGGGAGCGAACAGG
rnacentral:rRNA from 1 species